GGUAUUUGGUACUUAACCCUACUAAAUAAAAAAAUUUAAAAGUCAAGCCAUAAGGAACUCAAACCCAAGACCUUUAGCCUUGGGCAUUAACCUCUUACCGCUAUCAUUAGGGAUGUCACUACAAGAAACAUCGCCUGUAACGACCGAAUUUAGCGAUCGAAAUUUUCGGUCUUUAAAAAGGCGGUCGUAACGACUGAAAUUUAAAUAUUAACGACCGUUUUCUUUAAUAUUUUAAAUUUUAUUUUUUUAUUAUAUACGACUGAAUGAAACGGUCGUUAACUUUUAACAGCCGUAUCAACGACCGAAAUACGGUCGUUAGUUAAUUUUUAUUUAAUUUUGAUAUAAUUUUAAUGUAACGACCGUUACAAACGGUCGUUAACUUAAUUUCAGAUAUGAUAUUUUUAUUUUUUCGGAAAUAUUUAACGACCGUUUAGGGAACGGUCGUUGUUUUUUAAUUAAUUUAAAAUUAUUUAAUAUUUACGACCGAAAUUCGGUCUUUAUAUUAGAAUUAAAAAAAUUAAAUAAUUAAUAAUUAUUUUUAACGUCCGUGUUUCGGUCGUUGUAAACCAAAAUUUUAAAUAUUAUAAUUAAAAUUGUUAACGACCGAAAAACGGUCGUUAAUUUAAGAUUCGGUAGUUGAAGUUGCAGAUUUAACUUAGAUUUUCUAAUUUUUCCCCAAUUUUCUUCUCCACCUUUCCUUCUCCGAUUCUCCACCUCCCGCCGCCGAUUUCGCCAUUACCGUCGAGAUAUCCGUCGUCCCUCCGUUCCCGACACCGCCACCUCCGUCCAACGAACGCCCACCUCCACCGACGCCGCUGCUGCUGCUCUCCGUCCGACGCGACGCCGACGUCGCUGCUCUCCGUCCGUCGCACGCCGCUACUCUCCGCCCCUGCCCUCGCAAGAAAGCUCCUGCCGUUGCCGGAAUUAGAGAUUGUAGUUGGAGGUCAAGAGGCGAUUGGCAGAGCUUCGCCAAACACAGGAAGAGGUCAUGCCCUCAGAUGUAGAUUGCAUUUUCUGAGAGGUCGUCACUCCUGAUUCGAGGGGACGCAUCAUGGGAUUAGGCAUGUUGAUGUCUAGGGCGAUUUCUGAGAGCGGCGAGUCGUCGAGCACGCACUCCACUAGCACCUCCCAGUUUCCUUUCCCUGUUGCCUCGAGAGAUGAGCUGAGCUCCACACAAAGGGAGCUAGAGGCCAGGAGAGCGAACGAGGAGGCUCAGAGCAAGGCUAUACAGAAGAUGCAAGCCCAGAUCGCGCUGCUCAUGCAAGGAUAUCGAGCACAGUCCCCCUCCGACGCCUCUGAUGGGACCCACCCGGACCUAUGAUUAUAUUUACUCUCGCUUGUUGUAGUUACUACACUUUGAAUACUGAAUUUCUAAACUUGUUGACAUAUUUUAUGAUUUGCUACUUUAAUAUUUGAUGCCUUUCUACUUUGAUCA